rnacentral:rRNA from 1 species
UGUGUAUCAGUACAUGGCAUAUCAAUAAGCGGAGGAAAAGAAACUAACAAGGAUUCCCCUAGUAACGGCGAGUGAAGCGGGAAGAGCUCAAAUUCGAAAUCUUCAAGGGUUUCCCUUGACGAAUUGUAGUUUAAAGAAGUGUUUUCUGUUAGAGAGGUGGUAAAAGUUCUUUGGAAUAGGACAUCAUAGAGGGUGAGAAUCCCGUAUUUGAUCACUUUCUACUAACGUUGUGAUACACUUUCAAAGAGUCGGAUUGUUUGGGAAUGCAGUCCAAAAUGGGUGGUAAAUUUCAUCUAAAGCUAAAUAUUGGCGAGAGACCGAUAGCGAACAAGUACCGUGAGGGAAAGAUGAAAAGAACUUUGAAAAGAGAGUUAAACAGUACGUGAAAUUGUCAAAAGGGAAGCGUUUGACACCAGUGUUGUUUUUCCGAAAAUCAAUUAUGAAUGGCUUGAUUUUAAGUUUCAUGACCUUAAAAGCUUGUUGCUUAUUUUUCAUGUCUUUCGUAAUGCACUUUUCGGUUAACAAGUCAACAUCAAUUUCUUUUGUUGUAAAAGGUUAAGAGGAAGGUGGCUUUACUUUCGGGUAAAGUGUUUAUAGCCUUUUAGCUCCUGCAAUCGGAGAGAUUGAGGUCUGCAGCGUAGAUCCUUCGGGGUUAGAUACAGUUUGUGCUAAGUUAUAGCUUUUCAUAGACAACUUGUUGACUAUGUUAGUCUUGUGAAUUUACUCGCAUAUGCUAUUUUACCUACGCUUAGGAUGUUGACAGCAGUAUAGACUGU